AUACUUACCUGGACGGGGUCAAUCGGCGUUCAGAAAGGCCGAUGGCCUAGGGUGGCUGUCUCCAUUGCACUUAGGAGAUGGCUAACCUUAGUAUCUCCUCUGAGUAGGAGAGUACACGUCAUAAUUUGUGAUAGGGGGGUACGCGUUCGCGCGGCCCCCAC
rnacentral:snRNA from 1 species